rnacentral:antisense_RNA from 1 species
UGUAGGAGCGAGCUUGCUCGCGAUGACGGUAAAUCAGCCAUCAGAUAAUUGGCUGACACACCGCCAUCGCGAGCAAGCUCGCUCCCACA